rnacentral:misc_RNA from 1 species
GAUGAAGAACGUAGCAAAAUGCGAUACUUGGUGUGAAUUGCAGAAUCCCGUGAACCAUCGAGUUUUUGAACGCAAGUUGCGCCCGAAGCCUUUUGGCCGAGGGCACGUCUGCCUGGGUGUCACGCAUCGCGUCGCCCCCCACAAUUCUCUGUAAAGGGAACUUGUGCUUUGGGGGCGGAUAUUGGUCUCCCGUGCUCAUGGCGUGGUUGGCCGAAAUAGGAGUCCCUUCGAUGGACGCACGAACUAGUGGUGGUCGUAAAAACCCUCGUCUUUUGUUUCGUGCUGUUAGUCGCAAGGGAAACUCUAAGAAAACCCCAACGUGUCGUCUUUUGACGGCGCUUCGACCGCGACCCCAGGUCAGGCGGGACUACCCGCUGAGUUUAAGCAUAUCAAUAAGCGGAGGA